rnacentral:rRNA from 1 species
GUAAAGAUUUUAAGGGCGUACGGCGGAUGCCUUGGCGAUAUCAGCCGAAGAAGGACGCGGUAAGCUGCGAUAAGCUACGGAGAGGUGCAAGCAACCUUUGACCCGUAGAUUUCCGAAUGGGGGAACCCGGCAGUGGUUAUGCACUGUCACCCAUAGCUUAGACUAUGAGGAGGGCACCUGGGGAACUGAAACAUCUAAUUACCCAGAGGAAAAGUAAUCAAACGAGAUUUUCUUAGUAGCGGCGAGCGAACGGGAAAGAGGCCAAACCGGAGCGGGCAACCGCACCGGGGUUGAGGACAGUCAUCAAGUGUAAAUGAGGUAGAAGAAUCGAGUUGGAAAGCUCAGCCGCAGAAGGUGAAAGCCCUGUAAUCGAAACCUUGCAUACAUGGGACUGUAUCCAGAGUACCACGAGACACGUGAAACCUUGUGGGAAGCAGGGGGGACCACCCUCCAAGCCAAAAUACUGAUAUCGACCGAUAGCGCAUAGU